CAGUAGCCGCGGGAAUACGUAGGUGGCAAGCAUUGUCCGGAAUUAUUGGGCGUAAAGGGCUCGCAGGCGGUUUCUUAAGUCUGAUGUGAAAGCCCCCGGCUCAACCGGGGAGGGUCAUUGGAAACUGGGAAACUUGAGUGCAGAAGAGGAGAGUGGAAUUCCACGUGUAGCGGUGAAAUGCGUAGAGAUGUGGAGGAACACCAGUGGCGAAGGCGACUCUCUGGUCUGUAACUGACGCUGAGGAGCGAAAGCGUGGGGAGCGAACAGGAUUAGAGACCCCCGUAGUCCCUGUCUCUUAUAC
rnacentral:rRNA from 1 species